rnacentral:sRNA from 1 species
UGCUCCUUAAGAUUUAAGAUCUGAAUUCACAUAUUCUAAAGGGUAUUAUUCAGUAAUAGGUUCAUACCUUUUCGAAUAUGUGAAUUUUUAUUUACACCCGUAAAUAUAGGAGUAGCAUGUUAAUUUAAUGUUAAUUAUUUUGAGGAGGCUACACACAUGCAACAAGGUACAGUUAAAUGGUUCAACGCUGAGAAAGGAUUUGGCUUCAUCGAAGUUGAAGGCGGAAACGACGUAUUCGUUCACUUCUCCGCAAUUCAAGGCGAUGGCUUCAAAACUCUUGAAGAAGGUCAAAAAGUUGAGUUCAACGUUGUUCAAGGCAACCGCGGACCACAAGCUGAGAACGUAACUAAACUGUAAGACGUAACCGUCUACAUGAAGCGGUCCGAGCAAUCGGCCGCUUACCG